GCCGGGCGAGGUGGCGGGCGCCUGUAGUCCCAGCUACUCGGGAGGCUGAGGCAGGAGAAUGGCGUGAACCCGGGAGGCGGGGCUUGCAGUGAGCUGAGAUCCGGCCACUGCAGUCCAGCCUGGGCAACAGAGCCAGACUCUGUCUCAA
ensembl:misc_RNA Metazoa_SRP Metazoan signal recognition particle RNA